AGUGGGGAAUUUUGGACAAUGGGCGCAAGCCUGAUCCAGCCAUUCCGCGUGCAGGAUGAAGGCCCUCGGGUUGUAAACUGCUUUUGUACGGAACGAAACGGUCCUGGUUAAUACCUGGGGCUAAUGACGGUACCGUAAGAAUAAGCACCGGCUAACUACGUGCCAGCAGCCGCGGUAAUACGUAGGGUGCAAGCGUUAAUCGGAAUUACUGGGCGUAAAGCGUGCGCAGGCGGUGAUGUAAGACGGAUGUGAAAUCCCCGGGCUCAACCUGGGAACUGCAUUCGUGACUGCAUCGCUGGAGUGCGGCAGAGGGGGAUGGAAUUCCGCGUGUAGCAGUGAAAUGCGUAGAUAUGCGGAGGAACACCGAUGGCGAAGGCAAUCCCCUGGGCCUGCACUGACGCUCAUGCACGAAAGCGUGGGGAGCAAACAGGAUUAGAUACCCUGGUAGUCCACGCCCUAAACGAUGUCAACUGGUUGUUGGUCCUUCACUGGAUCAGUAACGAAGCUAACGCGUGAAGUUGACCGCCUGGGGAGUACGGCCGC
rnacentral:rRNA from 1 species